UAGCUCAGUGGUAGAGCGCUUGCCUAGCAAGCACAAGGCCCUGGGUUCGAUCCUCAG
rnacentral:tRNA from 1 species